GAUUGAAACACAUCAUACUCAGUUUAGAGAGUGUUAUCCAGGAGUUUGACUAAUAUUUAACUAGGAUGCACUACCUGAUUCAUCUGCCGUCACAAAGAAUUUGGUGUGGUCCUCUGGUUCGAUCUUGGUGCCUGCGUUUUGAGGCAAAGCUGAAAUUUGCCAAACAUAUUGGCCAUCGUGGUAACUUCAAAAUAUAGGCCUGUCUAUUGCUCGUCAACAUCAAGGAAUGAUGUCAUAUUUCCUAUUUGAUAAUCAGAACAAGUUGUUUGGAGACAACCUAGAAGUUGGACCUGGUAAGCUAAUACUGUAAGCAUUUGCUUGUGGCGUGGUAGAUAUCUAGAGUUGCUGUCACAUGAUGUGAACAUUGUUUGAUAAUUGAAUAUAAUUCAUAUGCAGGAAAGACGUUCCGUGUUUAUGAGCUUAACGAUCAUGACAAUUUGAAGUUCUGUCUUUGUCAGCUAAUGAAUGAGCAAGCUGUAAUUGCUAUUUCAAAUUGGGUGAAGAUUAGUGGUAUCAAGUACUCCAAAGGUGUUUGGGUGGCAACAAAUCAGGUAGAAGCUUGCCAGUGUUUGUUUGGCGUCGUAGAGCAUGUCAUCUGCCAUUGCGAGGAGAUUUACUUGUGGACAAAGGUGUGGCACACCGAAGGUCGAGACAGCCACACUCAAGCCUAUAUUUUGAGAUCCCCUACAUCGAUGAGACUUGUAAAGCAAACCUGCUUACUAUACCAUUCUAUAUUGCAAGUUAUGUCUGCUGAUGACGGGAACAAGUACUUAACUGAAAAUGCAAGUGCUAGUAACUAAUUGAA